UGCCAGACUCCUACGGGAGGCAGCAGUGAGGAAUAUUGGUCAAUGGGAGAGAUCCUGAACCAGCCAAGCCGCGUGAGGGAAGACGGCCCUAUGGGUUGUAAACCUCUUUUGUCGGAGAACAAAACCCGGGACGUGUCCCGGACUGCGUGUAUCCGAAGAAAAAGCAUCGGCUAACUCCGUGCCAGCAGCCGCGGUAAUACGGAGGAUGCGAGCGUUAUCCGGAUUUAUUGGGUUUAAAGGGUGCGUAGGCGGGCUGUUAAGUCAGCGGUCAAAUGUCGGGGCUCAACCCCGGCCUGCCGUUGAAACUGGCGGCCUCGAGUGGGCGAGAAGUAUGCGGAAUGCGUGGUGUAGCGGUGAAAUGCAUAGAUAUCACGCAGAACUCCGAUUGCGAAGGCAGCAUACCGGCGCCCUACUGACGCUGAGGCACGAAAGCGUGGGUAUCGAACAGGAUUAGAUACAU
rnacentral:rRNA from 1 species